CUAUAGAAUUUUAUAUUAACUUUACCUAGCGGUUAAUGCUGGUUUUUUGUUAAUAUUUGGUUGGGAGGAUUAUUAAAUUUAACAAACUUUAUAUCAUUAUAAACUUUGAUUUAAGAAAAUAUAAUGACCUUCAAUUUGAAAUAGUUAGAGUAAAUUACCUUAGGGAUAACAGCGUAAUAUUUUUUUAUAGACCUUAUAGAAAAAAAUGGUUGCGACCUCGAUGUUGAAUUAAGAUAAAUUUUAAAUGCAGGAGUUUAAUAAUUAAGUCUGU
rnacentral:rRNA from 1 species